rnacentral:rRNA from 1 species
UGCAAAUCAAUAUAAAUUGAUUAAAUUUAUAAUUUAUUUAUUAAUUUUUUUUAAAAAAAAUACUUUAAUUUAUAUUAAAAAUAUUUAUAUAAUUUAUUUGUUUUAGUAAUUAAAUUAAAAAAAUAAAAUUUAUAAUAGUUUAUUUGUAUUGUGAAUGAUAAUUGAAAUAUAUUGAAAAAUAUUUAUUAAAAAAGAAAAAUUUAUUUUUUGUACCUUGGGUAUCAGGGUUUAUUAAAUAAUUAAUAAAAAUUUAUUAAUCUCGAUUUUAUAAGAGUUAAUAAUUUAUGAUAGUUAAUGUAUUAUAAUUAUUUUUUAUAAAUUAUUAGAAAUGAAAUGUUAUUCGUUUAUAAAUAUAUCUAGUUUUUUUAGAAAUAAAUUUAAUUUAUUAAUUUUUAAUUUUAUUUAUUUUUUAUAUAAAUAAAUAAAUUUAUUAAUUAAAAUAUUUUAAGGGAUAAGCUUUAAAAUAAAUUUAUUAAAAAUUUAAUAAAUUUUUAUUAAAAAUAUAUGCAUAUAAUUAGCAAUUAUUAAUAAUUUUGUAAUAAAUUAUUUUAUAAAAUAUAUUUUUUAUUAAUAUUUUAAUUUUUUUUUAUAAAAAUUAUUUUUUUAAUUUUUUAUAAAAAUAAAUAAUGAUAAAAUUAGUAUAUAAAUUAUAUUAAUGUAAAAUUAUUUAUUUUUGAUAAGUUUAUAUAAAGAACUCGGCAAAUAUUUUACUCGCCUGUUUAACAAAAACAUGUCUUUUUGAGUUAUUUUUAAAGUCUAACCUGCCCAAUGAAAUAUUUUUUAAUGGCCGCAGUAUUCUGACUGUGCAAAGGUAGCAUAAUCAUUAGUCUUUUAAUUGAAGGCUUGUAUGAAUGGUUGGACGAAGUAUAAUCUGUUUCAUAUAAAUUUUUUAUAGAAUUUUAUAUUUUAGUAAAAAAGCUAAAAUUUUUUUAAAAGACGAGAAGACCCUAUAAAUCUUUAUAAUUUAAAUUAUUUUUAUUUUAUUGAAUUAUUUAUUUUUUUUAAUUUAAAUUAUUUUGUUGGGGUGAUAUUAAAAUUUAAAAAACUUUUAAUUUUUAAAUUCAUUAAUUUAUGACUUGUUGAUCCAUUAAUAAUGAUUAAAAAAAUAAGUUACUUUAGGGAUAACAGCGUAAUUUUUUUGGAGAGUUCUUAUUGAUAAAAAAGUUUGCGACCUCGAUGUUGGAUUAAGAUAAAAUUUUAGGUGUAGUAGCUUAAAUAAUAAGUCUGUUCGACUUU